GGGAAGGUGGCUCAGUGGUAGAGUGCUUGCCUCGCAUGCAGGAAGCCAUAGGUUCCAUUCCUCAGUACCA
rfam:Dipodomys ordii contig_80491, whole genome shotgun sequence.